GGAGCCGUAGCCAAGUGGUAAGGCAGUGGUCUGCAAAACCACCAUUCCCCGGUUCAAAUCCGGGCGGCUCCU
rnacentral:tRNA from 1 species